AUAAAUUUUACUGCAUAUAUAAUAUUAUAAUAAUACGAAGUAUACAUUUAACAUUUAUAUAUAUCUUAUAUUUAUUAGACCAUAACACACACAAUAAUAACAAAAAUAUACAUUUAUAAAAGUUCCAAAAGAUAAACAUUCUGGGCAUGUAAGAUAAGUCAUGUAUGUACGUGUACGUAUAUAUGAGUCUGUGACGUCGGUUAAGAGGUUCACGAAUUUUUUGCAGUUUGCACAAUAUAUAUACCUAUUACAUAUUGUAAAUAUUGUUCGGACACGGUUAAAAGUUUGUGUCAAUAAGAAAACCCUUUGCUUUGCAAAUAUAGUUUGCUUUUAUAAAAGUUUGUCAAAAUAUGAUAACUUAUAUCAACUAAAGAGUUUAAUAAAUUUCCGUUUCGCUCUUUAUCAUUCAUCGUAUAUACAUGAUAACUGUCGGCAGAUAAUGGUAUCAAAAGAGUAGGUAAUUGUCACUUAAUUUCACCACAAUGAAUAACAUCACUAUCAAAAUCAGGAAUUAUUUUUGCUUGAAUGAAUUAUCAUGCCUUCCGGUGAUAUCUACGCAGGAAAGAUUAUUGCAGCAAUAUACUACUACGAAACUUGCAACAAUGGAAUGCAAUAAUAGUAUAUUAGGAAUCACAGAGAUGGCAAGCAGCGUCGAAGUAAGAGAAUUACUGCCUUUUAAAACCUUGACAGAAUUAAACAAUGCCUUGGACAAUGGAUUAACAGAGUUACCAAUAACAUGUAUCGCAGAGUCUGUUGAUUAUGUAUAUCGAGGUUCAGAAAUCAGUGCGCAAAAAAUUUUACUGGAAAAAGUGGACAGGGAUGAACAGCCUAGAACGCUUGUCUGCCACGACAUGAAAGGUGGUUACUUGGAAGACAGAUUCUUAUCCGGCUCUACCUCUCAUGAUUCUUAUAUAUUUUACCAUUGGAGUGUUGUCGAUAUAUUUGUUUAUUUUAGCCAUCACUUCGUAACUGUCCCACCCUGUGGAUGGAUCAAUGCAGCGCACCACCAUGGUGUAAAAGUAUUGGGUACUGUAAUUACAGAAGGAAAUAAUGAUACUUGGAAUACGAUUCUCAUAUCACAGGAAGAUGUAAAAAAAUUUGCAGACGCUUUAGUAUUGGUUGCAAAGUGUUACCAAUUUGAAGGCUGGCUUUUGAACAUUGAAAAUAAAAUUAAACAGGAAGAUAUUGAUAAUUUAAUUUAUUUCGUUAAAUAUUUAACAGAAAAUAUUCACAAGGAAAUUGAAAAUUCAGAGAUUAUCUGGUAUGAUAGUGUCACCAAUAAGGGGGAGUUGAAUUGGCAGAAUGAACUGAAUGACAAUAAUAAAGAUUUUUUCUCACAUUGCGACGGUAUAUUUUUAAAUUAUAAUUGGACGGAAUCACGACUUAGCAAAAGUCGUAUAUUCGCAAAGGAAUUAGGUCGCGAUAUUAAGGAUAUUUAUGUAGGAUUGGAUGUUUGGGGGAGAGGAUGUCCAGGUGGAGGCGGAUUUAAUUCGGCAUAUGCGUUAGAUUUAAUACGGAAACAUGGUCUUUCGGUAGCUAUUUUUGCACCUGGUUGGACACAUGAAUACUUUGGUCCAAGUACUUUCCAAAUUCUAGAGGAUUUAUUUUGGGCUCAACUAUUUCCAUAUCUAUAUGUACAUGUACCUAUUUAUGAAGAUGAAACAUUUAAAACUUCCUUUUGUCGUGGUGCCGGUAUCUGCUAUUAUUAUAAUGGCGAGGAGCAUUUCGAACUGUACAAGAUAAACGGCGAAAGCGCGCAUGGAAAAAAAGCAUUUUAUAAUUUGCGGAUGCAGCAACCGCAACUGUCAGUUGCCGCGCCGAAUUCACAAUUUACUCGAUCUACACAAAGAACUCUUCUCGAAGAUGGUGAAAAUAACGAUGAAGUUAAUAAUGGCCAAGGUGAUAAAGAUAAUAAUACUAAUAAGACACACACACGUAUAGAACGUAUAUAUGAAAAUAGAAAGAAUAUUAUACGAGUCUGCGACAAUGUCGUCAAUAUUGAAGAAAAAUUAUCUGCCCCUGACUUCAAUACUUUCGAGUUCUGCGAUCGAUUUUCCUACAAUGGCGGCGGAUGCUUGAAAUUAAUUACUACAAAUGAUAGAUUAUAUCAUAGGUUGUUCUUGAUUCACAUUGAUUUGAAACAUAACAUCCAGGCAACCAUCGUUUACACAGAACUUGGAACUUUAACGAAUGAGUCUCACAAGGAUCCUGUCUUGAUCUUGGGUAACGAUGGUGAUCUAAAAUCGAUUUUACCUUACAAUUCCGUCAGAGUGAAUGCCAAAUGGAGGAAAUGCGUCUACUUGACAAACUUGAGGACCGUGGACGAGAUUGGUGUAUCCUUGAAACAACGCGAUUACUACUUGGGUGAAAUUGUUUUGGAAAAGAGGGAUCAUCGUUUUGAAAGCAGCGUACGAAAAUGCCAUUAAUUCCUAUGCACGGGAGCCUCAUAUAUACAAAUACAUUACGCGAUCGCCUUUGUACCAAUGUACACCUUGUACAUUUUCUACUAACGAAGGCAUGCAAGGUGACUGAUCUCUCGCGUCAAUUUCGCAAAUUUCCGAUGCAAUGCGGCGCAGAGAGGGAGAGGCGAAGAAGGAAAAGCGGGUGAACGAGAGCGAGAGAAAGAAACAAUGUGCGAAUGAUGAGAAAAGUAGAAAGAGACGUAGGAGCAGCAGAUAAUUGCGAUUCUGCGUACGUUGCCAGUCGGAUCAGCGAUUACCAUGUUGUACAAUCUGCUUUGGAUUCAACGUAGCAUUCUAUCGCCACAAUAUUAAUUCGCAACUAUUAUAAGAAAUAUAUAUGGUGGAAUAAUAUAAAAAUAUUUUACUGUAAUCUUACAUGUCAAUUUUUAAGAAACGGUUCGAGAAACAGACAAAUCUGUAUCAAACACAAUACAUAUAAUUGUGUGUGUGUGUGUGUCUGUGUGUGUCUGUGAGAGAGAGAGAAUCUUUGUUAUUUGUAUAAUAUAAAUAAAAUUAUCAUUUGAACGAAAAAAAACGCACAAGUUGGUGAGAUUCUAUAAAAUUGCAAUUCACACAGCAUAAAAAUGCAUUAGCGCAAGACUACGUUCGAUAUAUAAUAGCAAGCGAGAAAUCAUGCAAGUUUUGUAAAUCGGCUAGAAAAUGCGAUUAAGACAUUACCGUUAUCUUCUACUUUGAGUCGCGAAUACGAUUCCACAAAAGGACCAAGGAGAGAUUAUCGGCGAAAAAUUAUCUCGGACAAGUAAAGACGGCGUAAUAAUUAUUACGGCGGAACGUAAUAUUAUUAUCGUGAAAGUCAACAAUGUACAAUUGACUCGGAGAAGAAUC